CUCCCCGCGCGCAAAGCCCCGGGCCCUGACGGCUUCACGGCUGAAUUCUUACGCGCAUGUUGGCCCACCGUUCGGCAGGACUUCGUCGACGUCUUCUGUCAGCUCUACGCGCUGCGAGGCCGCGGCUUCAGCUGCCUCAACCAGGCGCUUCUCACCUUGCUGCCCAAGCGCGCCAACGCCCACGCCCUCGGCGACUUCAGGCCCAUUAGCCUCAUUCACUUGCUCGCCAAGAUCUUCGCCAAAGUCCUGUCGCUGCGCCUCGCGCCCAAGCUCAACACUCUUGUCAGCACAAGCCAGAACGCCUUCAUCCCCGGACGCAGUCUGCAUGACAAUUUCAUCCUCGUCCGGCAGUCGGCUCGUCUGCUGCACCAGCUCGGCGCCCCACGCGUGCUCCUGAAGCUCGACCUGGCGCGCGCCUUCGACUCGGUCAGAUGGCCAUUCCUGUUCGAUGCCCUUCGCCGAUACGGCUUCGGCUCCAGGUUCCUCGACUGGCUUGCCAUCCUCUUCUCUUCGGCAAGCACCAUAGUGCUUAUUAACGGAGAGCCAAGCCCUGCUAUCUGGCACCGAUGUGGGUUCCGCCAGGGCGACCCCCUUUCGCCCCAGCUCUUCGUACUCGCCGUCGACACGCUUGGAUGCCUUCUCCACCGCGCAACCGAGUUGGGUAUCCUGCAGCGCCUUCACCCUCGGCGACCGAUGCCAUCCGUCUCCCUCUACGCGGAUGACAUGAUCCUCUUCUGCCACCCCACCCUAAGCGAUGUCACUGCCGUCAAGAGCAUCCCGUAA
rnacentral:rRNA from 1 species